rnacentral:tRNA from 1 species
GCUCCCAUAGCUCAGCUGGAUAGAGCAACGGCCUUCUAAGCCGUAGGUCGCAGGUUCGAAUCCUGCUGGGGGUACCA